rnacentral:rRNA from 1 species
UUUUAGUAGCACGCUCAAGACCCGAAGCGGAGUGAUCUAGCCAUGGGCAGGUUGAAGCGGCUGUAAGAGGUCGUGGAGGACCGAACCCACCAGGGUUGAAAACCUGGGGGAUGACCUGUGGUUAGGGGUGAAAGGCCAAUCAAACUCCGUGAUAGCUGGUUCUCCCCGAAAUGCAUUUAGGUGCAGCGUCGUGUGUUUCUUGCCGGAGGUAGAGCACUGGAUAGGCGAUGGGCCCUACCGGGUUACUGACCUUAGCCAAACUCCGAAUGCCGGUAAGUGAGAGCGCGGCAGUGAGACUGUGGGGGAUAAGCUCCAUGGUCGAGAGGGAAACAGCCCAGAGCAUCGACUAAGGCCCCUAAGCGUACGCUAAGUGGGAAAGGAUGUGGAGUCGCACAGACAACCAGGAGGUUGGCUUAGAAGCAGCCACCCUUGAAAGAGUGCGUAAUAGCUCACUGGUCUAGUGAUUCCGCGCCGACAAUGUAGCGGGGCUCAAGCGUACCGCCGAAGUCGUGUCAUUGCAGCAAUACGGCCAACGCCGGCUGUGAUGGGUAGGGGAGCGUCGUGUGCCGGGUGAAGCAGCCGCGGAAGCGAGUUGUGGACGGUUCACGAGUGAGAAUGCAGGCAUGAGUAGCGAUACAAACGUGAGAAACGUUUGCGCCGAUUGACUAAGGGUUCCUGGGUCAAGCUGAUCUGCCCAGGGUAAGUCGGGACCUAAGGCGAGGCCGACAGGCGUAGUCGAUGGAUAACCGGUUGAUAUUCCGGUACCCGCUGUGAAGCGUCAAACAUCGAGCAUCGUGAUGCUAAGGCCGUGAAGCCGCCCUGAUCUCUUCGGAGUUGAGGGGAGUGGUGGAGCCGCCGAACCAAGCGGUUAGUAGGUGAGUGAUGGGGUGACGCAGGAAGGUAGUCCAUCCCGGGCGGUGGUUGUCCCGGGGUAAGGGUGUAGGCCGGUGUGUAGGUAAAUCCGCACACCUUGUGGCUGAGACCUGAUGCCGAGCCGAUUGUGGUGAAGUGGAUGAUCCUAUGCUGUCGAGAAAAGCCUCUAGCGAGUUUCAUGGCGGCCCGUACCCUAAACCGACUCAGGUGGUCAGGUAGAGAAUACCGAGGCGUUCGGGUGAACUAUGGUUAAGGAACUCGGCAAAAUGCCCCCGUAACUUCGGGAGAAGGGGGGCCACACCUGGUGACGAGUUUUGCACUCUGAGCUGGGGGUGGCCGCAGAGACCAGCGAGAAGCGACUGUUUACUAAAAACACAGGUCCGUGCGAAGCCGUAAGGCGAUGUAUACGGACUGACGCCUGCCCGGUGCUGGAACGUUAAGGGGACCGGUUAGUCACAUUUCGGUGUGGCGAAGCUGAGAACUUAAGCGCCAGUAAACGGCGGUGGUAACUAUAACCAUCCUAAGGUAGCGAAAUUCCUUGUCGGGUAAGUUCCGACCUGCACGAAUGGCGUAACGACUUCUCGACUGUCUCAACCAUAGGCCCGGUGAAAUUGCACUACGAGUAAAGAUGCUCGUUUCGCGCAGCAGGACGGAAAGACCCCGGGACCUUUACUACAGUUUGAUAUUGGUGUUCGGUUCGGCUUGUGUAGGAUAGCUGGGAGACUUUGAAGCUCGCACGCCAGUGUGGGUGGAGUCGUCGUUGAAAUACCAGUCUGGUCGUGCUGGAUGUCUAACCUGGGUCCGUGAUCCGGAUCAGGGACAGUGUCUGAUGGGUAGUUUAACUGGGGCGGUUGCCUCCUAAAGAGUAACGGAGGCGCCCAAAGGUUCCCUCAGCCUGGUUGGCAAUCAGGUGUUGAGUGUAAGUGCACAAGGGAGCUUGACUGUGAGACCGACGGGUCGAGCAGGGACGAAAGUCGGGACUAGUGAUCCGGCGGUGGCUUGUGGAAGCGCCGUCGCUCAACGGAUAAAAGGUACCCCGGGGAUAACAGGCUGAUCUUCCCCAAGAGUCCAUAUCGACGGGAUGGUUUGGCACCUCGAUGUCGGCUCGUCGCAUCCUGGGGCUGGAGUCGGUCCCAAGGGUUGGGCUGUUCGCCCAUUAAAGCGGUACGCGAGCUGGGUUUAGAACGUCGUGAGACAGUUCGGUCCCUAUCCGCUGUGCGCGUAGGAGUCUUGAGAAGGGCUGUCCCUAGUACGAGAGGACCGGGACGGACGAACCUCUGGUGUGCCAGUUGUCCUGCCAAGGGCAUGGCUGGUUGGCUACGUUCGGGAGGGAUAACCGCUGAAAGCAUCUAAGCGGGAAGCCUGCUUCGAGAUGAGGACUCCCACCCCCUUGAGGGGUUAAGGCUCCCAGUAGACGACUGGGUUGAUAGGCCGGAUCUGGAAGCACCGUGAGGUGUGGAGGUGACCGGUACUAAUAGGCCGAGGGCUUGUCCUCAGUUGCUCGCGUCCACUGUGUU